rnacentral:tmRNA from 1 species
GGGGCUGACCGGUUUUGACAGCGGGUAGAAGUGGUUUGUAAGCAUGCAGUGCGUCAUUGGCCGGCACUUUAAUCUCGGUUGAUAACAUUUUAACUGGCGAAACUAAUUACGCGCUUGCUGCGUAGUCGAAGUAUAGUAGACUAACGCUUCAUCCCUGCGCAAGGCGUGGGGACGAGCCAUCACCCGGAGCUCUUGCUUCGAAGCUGACCGAUAAGGUGGUGCGGAAAUAUCGAAGAUUGUCCGUAUAAUUUCUCUGACGACGGAUGAAAUUUUGAGAGAAUAAGGUUACGGUUGGUAGCUUCGGUCUUGCCGUAAGACGAAAAUCAAAGCGAAGAUAAGCAUGUAGAAAGCAAAUUAGUUCCUCGUUUGGACGAGGGUUCGAAUCCCUCCAGCUCCACUA